rnacentral:lncRNA from 1 species
AUGAGGCAGAAGGAGGUCAGCAAGGUGGGUCUGCCCACAGGCAGUAUGCAGCUGCGACCUGGAUACUGGAUUACCAGAAUGGAUGCCAUGGCAGUUCAGACCAGCUGCUGGGAUAUGCCACUGGCUUGUGACAGAGUUACAGUGAGAUUUUUUAUGACAGUGACAGCUGAAGCUUAGCCUUGAGAGAAAGAGUAAAAGCUGAACUACAAAGGUGAGUUUUGUUCACUGCCAUAGAAUCAGUUAAUGUUGGCAUUUUAAAGUAACUGUUAAUAUAAUGAAGAAAU